rnacentral:lncRNA from 1 species
GUCCACCAUGCCCUUUUUCUCAUGGUGCUCUCCGGCCACGCCGUAACCUGGUGUAGUAGUAUGCUGACCAGUGCUGUAGGGAUCUUGCUUUUGACCACCUGGGAUCUUCUGUUUGAUUUGGUCCAUCACUCCCCUAUCCUGCUGCUGUCCACCGUAAGGUGCGGUGGUCGGGGCUGUACCGUAGGGGUCGUCGGUCUUGUGGGUGCCUCCUGGAAGCUUCUCCUUGAUCUUCUCCUUCAUACCCUUCUUCCUCCUUCCACCACAGCCAUCGUCCUCAGACUACAUGACACAACAUACAAAACACCAUUAGCCAAUUGAUUCAAAGUUUCAAAUAUAAACACAACAAUCAAUUAAACAUGGGAGUACGUAGAUGGGGAGCGAGGCUUACGGAGCUAGAGCCGGAGCCGGAGCGAGUGAGAGUAGUGACGCCUCCGUGACCAGUUCCGGUUCCGGGAUGAACGCCUUGGCCGGUUGUUGCUCCGGUGUGAAUUGGGUUGCCGUACUCGUCCUUACGUCCCACGGGGUUUCCGUACUCGUCAGUGGGAGACUGAGUGGGGUAACCGCUCUGGUAUUGCGCCAUUUUCAAAUCAAAGUAAAACAAAGAAAACACAAAAGACUGCAAAUCGGGAUUGUAUUUGAUUUCUUAGUAAAGCUCGUUGUGGAUUAGAUGUGUUUGAGUUUGGAGACUUGGUCCGUUUAUAUAGGCAUCCAACGCAUGGACACGUACCCCUAGCCCUAGAAACGUGGUCGUCUAUAAAACUGACAAGUGUAACGUUAGUGUCGGUAACGGAGAGGAUAAGUGAGGUCGUUGUCUGGGGAGUGGAGUCAGUGGCGGACUCGUGACACGUUCACCGCGUCCGGCCGGCCAAAAGGGGGGAGGUGAACAGUCAGAGGUGGACACGUGGUGGUCUGAGAGUCGCCGAUGAGGAUGAACCCUGAUCUAGUGUGACACUGCGAUAGUUUGAUAGUUGGAUGGGAUGUGUACUGAGGUUGUUUUUAUCAUAUUGCUGUUAGGUAAUGUGGUGGAGCUGGAUGUUAUCCAUGCAGAUAUUUCUGUACGCUGGACCGACAUGAGAAUAGUUUAUUAUGUUUGAAUUCGAUUCAGAUUACUUUGGUGAGUGCUCAUAUAUAACAUCGAGGCCAUGCCAGGUGAUGAUGAUGAUCGAUCCUCGAACAAGUUUCGUCUUGGAAUAAUCUUUUAAUAAGUUGUUGGCUCAAGUUGAUAAUUUUGUCGAUCUCAUAUGCCAUCCAUCCAUACAAAAAAGUACCAACAAAGUUCAAAGUUCAAACAUCUCGGCCAUUGCCAAAAAUCUGAUAGUUUUUUUGGUAGUUCUGAAUGAUUCAUUCAUAUAUGUAAUCAAAACAAAACAAAACCUUCAAGACAUUUCCUCGUCUAGCUAGUGUUCCAUGUAACCCUACAUUAAACGGUUAAACCUCUGAAAGUUACAACACCACAACUUGAUGGGAUUCCAGGAUCAAAUCAAGCAAAGAAAUUAGCCACUCCUCAAUUAGGUAAUAAUUGGGAUAUGUAACAGUCAUAAAAGGAAACAAGAAAUUGUAUCAAAAAAAAAAAAAAUAGUAAACUACAUAUUAGUUACUAACCAAAUAUCAAUUAACAAAAAGAUCAAUUAAGCAUAUUUGUAAACAAAUAAGGACAAACUUUUACAAAUAAGGACAAAUUGUUAUAUUGUUGCCAUGUGGCAAUGCGCAUUUACAAUUGUGCCAUUUAAACUAAAUGUGCUGCUACUGUCGGCAGUUUACAAACUUCUGCUACUGCGAACUGAAGAAGUUGCUACUGUCGACUGUUUACAAACGUUAUGCUACUGCCCCCUGUUUUUACUUUUCUGCUACUGCCCCCUGUACUGUAAGCAGUUUACAAACGNNNNNNNNNNNNNNNNNNNNGAGAGAGAGAGAGGAAAAUUAGAGAUGAGAGGGUAUUACGGUAAUUUGAUAGGUAAAAUUCGGAUCAGGGCUAAUGCCAUUAGUUUUGGGCUUGGGCUGAUGUCUUAAAUUGUAUAAAAAUUACUAGAAGUGUGUUUUUUGUGUUUUUAAAUUUGGUCAUAUGCUACUAUGUAAUUUACUCAAAAAAAAAAAGGAUGAAAGAAACCAAGUCUGUAGCUCUUAGAAGCCCUAUUAGUAGCCAAACUCUAUUUAACGAACAGCCCAACAAAGCCCAACAAACCAAACGGCACCGGGUACGCGGCCAGAAACGUCUUUAUACAGCCUGAUACGCGUGGGGCGUGGCCAGAUACGUAUCCGUAAAUAAUAGGUUACAUAGGGGCAAUACGGACUUUUCACCAUGGUGUUUGCAUCCUCAAAACCUCCUCGUAUGCUUCUAGCUCCUCAAUCCAAACUCAACCCAGAAAAAACAGCAAAUGAUGAUAUCAGCAAUUUCAUGGGUGCCCAAAGGAGUUUCGAAGCCAGUCCCCGCAGUUGCCGAGCCGCCCACCCAGGAAGAAAUCGACGAGUUAAUAAAAUCCGGUAUCUUAGACAAAAGGUUAACAACCUCUUCAACUCCUUGUCUUUCUCUUAGUACUACCUUUUUUCAUUCCUAUGUUGUUUGUUAGUGUAUGCUUUCAACUUGUUUCAUUGUUUUUUUGGUACUACUUGGACACCGAUGUUUACUUUGGUUGAAGCAAAUUGUUGGGUGUGUUUAGUUUCCCGGAAAGGUGGAGUCUUUAGAUAGUAAAUAGGGAAAGAUUGGAUUUUUGAAUUAGUUUAGGAGCAAUGUGUGUGUGUAAUGGUUAAGAAUGUGUGUUGUUUAUGUGGGUCUUGCGAGUUAAUGUAGUUAUAAUUUGUGCAGUGGAGGCGGUGGGAGCGAUGAGGAUGAUGAGGGAGAAAUGGAGGUUGAAGAGACCACCGGUGAGGGUGGCGAAGUCUCGCAAGCAUUAGAGGUGGCGAAAGCGCUUGGCAGAGCUGAAAAGGUGACCAAGUCAGGGAGCAAGUAUGAUGACAUUACGGAAGGGUUGAAGGAACUUGACAUGGGACGAGGAUGAUGAUGGUAUUGCAGUUUGAUCUUGGUUUUUUUCUCAUUUCAAUUUUUGGAAUAUAAGACGGGGUUGGUUAUUGUAAUGAUUAAGUUGGAGGCGUUAAAUGGAGUCAGAAUGUUAUAGUCAAAGGUUAAAACUUCGAAAGAAUGUUUUUCUAAACGUAUAUACGGUAAUACACGUACAUACAUGGUGAGCAAAACGUACUCACCAGGCACGUUAUUAUACAAACCACACUUGGCUGCUCAACACUCGUCUGCAACUACAACACGGCCUACAUACGCUUAUGAAGUAUGAACCCUAACUCUGCGUAUCAGCUUCAAAUCACAAACAAUCCGCAGCCAUUAAUUAAUAUCAUUUACAAGCUAAUCCGUUCAUCGAGUAGUUCCAGCGGGAAGCUUCUCCUUGAUCUUGUCCAUCAUGCCCUUCUUCUCCUGCUGCUCCCCGGUUCCGGUACCGUAAGCCGGUGCCGCAGUGGUGUGAGUGUGAGUGGUGUUGUGGGGAUCUUGUCCACCAGUAAGACCACCUGGUAGCUUCUCUUUGACCUGGUCCACCAUGCCCUUUUUCUCCUGCUGCUCCCCGGUUCCGGUACCGUAAGCCGGUGCCGCAGUGGUGUGAGUGUGAGUGGUGUUGUGGGGAUCUUGUCCACCGGUAAGACCACCUGGUAGCUUCUCUUUGACCUGGUCCACCAUCCCCUUCUUCUCAUGCUCUCCGGCGACGCCGUAACCCGGUGUAGCACUAGUGUGCUGACCAGUGCUGUAGGGAUCUUGCUUUUGACCACCUGGGAUCUUCUCUUGGAUUUUGUCCAUCACUCCCCUAUCCUGGUUCUGUCCACCGUAAGGUGCGGUGGUCGGGGCUGUACCGUAGGGGUCGUCGGUCUUGCGGGUGCCUCCUGGAAGCUUCUCCUUGAUCUUCUCCUUCAUACCCUUCUUCCUCCUUCCACCACAGCCAUCGUCCUCAGACUACAUGACACAACAUACAGAACACCAUUAGCUAAUUGAUUCAAAGUUUCAAAUAUAAACACAACAAUCAAUUAAACAUGGGAGUACGUAGAUGGGGAGCGAGGCUUACGGAGCUAGAGCUGGAGCCGGAGCGAGUGAGAGUAGUGACGCCUCCGUGACCAGUUCCUGUUCCGGUUCCGGUGACGGGAUGAACGCCUUGGCCGGUGGUUGCUCCGGUGUGAAUUGGGUUGCCGUACUCGUCCUUACGUCCCACGGGGUUUCCGUACUCGUCAGUGGGAGACUGAGUGGGGUAACCGCUCUGGUAUUGCGCCAUUUUCAAAUCAAAGUAAAAGAAAGAGAACACAAAAGACUGCAAAUCGGGAUUGUAUUUGAUUUCUUAGUAAAGCUCGUUGUGGAUGAGAUGUGUUUGAGUUUGGAGACUU